rnacentral:lncRNA from 1 species
UUUCAAAAAACCAAAACCCUUUUUAUUUAUAUAGAUUGUUAAGUUUUUUUGGGGUCUUGUUAGUGGAGUCUUUUUGGGUUCUUAGAGUAUGUUCCCCAUUUGCACUAAGAGAGAAAGCAGUAUCUUUAAAACAACAAUUCUGUUUUUACAUUACCUUGAUUUAUUAUUUACUUUGGUGGUUAUGUAUGUGUGUGGUUCCAUGCAUGCUGUGAUACAAGUGUGAAGGUAGAAGAACAACCUGAGAGGGAGUGGGUCCUUUCCUUUCACUGUAUGCAUUCUGGAACUGAGACUCCAGCCCUUAAGCUCAUAUGACAAGUGUUUUUGCCAUUGAGCCAUUCUAUGGCCCUUAACUACAUUUAACUAUGAGGAAAGGAGAAACUAAGAAAAAGAGAAAAGAUGUAUGGGGUGAAAGUAUAAGAAAGUGUCCUGGCUUGGUGUGGUACGGUAGUCUAUGCUUGUAGUGCUAAUACUUGGGAAGAAGAAGAAGCAAGAGGACCAGAACAAGAACAGUUGUGGGUGCUCAAAGUUAGCUUGAGCUAUAAGACCCUGUCUCAAAUCAAAUCAAAAAUAAAAAUACAAAGCUUAAGUGAUCCCACGGGAACACUUAGAAAAGUAAAAAAGACAGUACAAAAGGAAAGAAAAAGGAAGGGAGCCAACAAAACAUCUUCAUUUUUUUCUUGCUGAGGAUAAGAGAAAGGAUGAGUCAUUUUCUUCCAGGCUCAUUUUAUAGGUGAGUGGAGUCCAAAGCAAUUCAGAAAAGAAGAGCUUUUCUCAAGCUGUAUUGUUGGGUUGAAGGUCCUGUUAUUGCAGGCCUAGUUAUGCUGAAAGUGUUCAAACUGCUUCUAUUAGCAUGGCUAAAGGACAUCCUCUCUCUCUGAGCACCAGAGGCCCUCUGCCUGGUGGGUUUGUGGUGGGAAGUUCUUUUGUGUAUGUGUGCAUGUGCCUGUACAUACAAACAGAAUAACCUCAGUACCUUUGGUGCUAGCCAUCUUUUUUGGGAAUAUUUUUCUGGCUUGGAAUACCCAGUAGAUUGGGUUGCUUAGCAAGUUCAAGGGAAAAGUCAUGCCUACAUCACCACCAUGCUUGGAAUUAGUGUUGGUUCUGGGGAUUGAACCCUGGAUUUCAUGCUUAUGUGGAAAAUACUUUGCCAACUACUUAUUGUCUUCCCAGCUUCUAGGGUGGAGAAUUCUGCCCAGCAGCAGUUGAUUUUUCUCCAUUCUCUGAGAACAUCCAAAGUAGUGAGGCCAAAGCAGUCUGCACUAUCUAGCCAAAGGGUUCAUCUUAACUGCCCUGGCCUCAGUUCUGUCCUGCACUCACUCCACUUGUAUUCAUACCUAGCUAGCUCCCUCUUAUUAGCAUUUGGUUUGCAUCUUCCUUAUUUGCUUGCUCUGGGCUUCAGUCUGAUUCAGUUGCCAUGUACCAUCCAAAGUAUAUCUGUCUGAUCUGAUUCACAUCCAUUUUCCCAGGUUCACACACAUUUUUUCCCUUUCCCUUUAAUUAAAAGAUUAAUACAUUAUUUCCCCUCCCUCCAACCUCUUUGAUACCACCCCACCCCCACCCCCAUUUUGGGGUUGCCAACUUAGCCAGUGGAGAACUUUGAAGUUUGGAGUUAGGAAAAUGCAGGGUCUUCUCUCCCCAGCUUAAUGGUAUAUAAGACCUCUCCUGAGAUAGUUCCCCUCUACUACACCAGUGAGCAAGCUAGGAAGUGCUUGAUUACAGGAAUUUCUUUUCCUAAUAUUUUCCUUAAAUUUAUGUGUGUAUGUGCAUGGAAAUCAGAGGACAAACUUGUGAGAGUUAAUUCUCUCCUACUAUAUUGGUUCUGGGAAUUGAAUGUAGACUGUCGGCUUGGUGGCAAGCACUUUUUAGCUGCUUAGCCAUCUCUAUAGCCCAUACUGCCUUUUACCCUUUCUGGUUUCUGAUAAGAAACUAGUUUGGGUAUAGAAGUAUCACAAAUUUAAACUCAUCCUGGGCUAGGCAGUAAAACCUGUUUCAAAAAAUAGAACACUAAAGACUGGGGUACAGCUUGAUGAUAGAGCACUUUACUAAUAGAUAUAAGGCCCUGGGGUUGGAUUUCCAGCUUUGGAGGGGAGGAAAAAGAAAAGGAAAAGCAAACAGACAUUGCUUGUUAACCUCUGAGUUUUCUGUGUCUGCUGAAUAGAUUCUCUUCUGCUUUCAAGAAGCUCUGUUUGGCCUUCAGUUGGAUGAGUCUACAAACAGAUGCGUGAGUUUAUUCCACUUGGGAUUUAUUUAGCUGCUUCUUUUGUGGUUUGUUUUUUUGGAGACAGUCUGUCUCUGGCUGUUCUAGAACUCAACUACAUAGACCAGGUUGGCCUUGAACUCAAAGAUAUCCACCUGCUUUUGCCUCCUGAGUGCCAGGAUUAAAAGCAUGAGCCACCACAUGGGCUAGUGUAAUUCCACCCCCAACCCCACCCCGCGAGACCAGAUUUUGCUGUGCUGUCUUGGAAUUUGAUCUGUAGACCAGGCUGGCCUCGAACACACAAGAGAUCCGAGUAUUGAAUUAAAGGCAUGCGCCACUACCUUCUGACUACAAAUUUUUAUACUUAAUGGUGAUUUUAAUUUGUCCUAAAGGUUUCUGCAACUCUGCUUUAUUUUUAUUUUUGUUCCUUAGACUAGAUAAUCCCAAUAUACCUACCUUCAUGUUGGCUACUUUUUUUCUGCUUUUUUGAAUCUCCUAGGAAACACCUCUAAUGAAUGUUUUAUAAUCCCCACUUUGCCCUUCCUCUUGUGUUAGGAAGAGGAUCUAGAGCCCUAGUCAUUGGAGACAAGAACUCUCGCUGAGUCAUAAAUCUAGCCUCAUCCCCACUCCUAUCCUUGUGUGUUUGUGUGUGUGUGUGUUUGUUUUGAGACCGUGUUUCACAUGUAGCCUUGCUGUCCCAGAACUCUUUAUAUAGAUCAGGCUGACCUCUACCUCCUAGAGAUCCACUUUCCUCUGUCUCCCAGUGCUGGGAUUAAAGGCGUAUGUCAUCAGUGGCUAAGAACAUUUACUAUUCUUGCAAAGAACCCAAGUUUGGACCUAAACAUUGGGUGGGUUACAACCAUUGGUACUUUCCGUUCCAGGGGAUUCAAUACAAAUGUAAUU